GCAUCCGUAGCUCAGCUGGAUAGAGUACUGGGCUACGAACCGAGCGGUCGGAGGUUCGAAUCCUCCCGGAUGCACCA
rnacentral:tRNA from 1 species